rnacentral:rRNA from 1 species
AGUAACUGCGAGUGAAGCGGGAAAAGCUCAAAUUUGAAAUCUGGCAGUCUAUUUUUUCUUCUUUGGCUGUCCGAAUUGUAAUCUAGAGAAGUGCUUACCUGCACUGGACCAUGUAUAAGUCUCCUGGAAUGGAGCGUCGCAGAGGGUGAGAAUCCCGUCUUUGACAUGGACUGCCAGUGUGUUGUGGUGUGCUCUCAAAGAGUCGAGUUGUUUGGGAAUGCAGCUCUAAAUGGGUGGUAAACUCCAUCUAAAGCUAAAUAUUGGCGAGAGACCGAUAGCGAACAAGUACCGUGAGGGAAAGAUGAAAAGGACUUUGGAAAGAGAGUUAAACAGUAUGUGAAAUUGUUGAAAGGGAAACGCUUGAAGUCAGUUGUGUCGGCUAGGGAUCAACCUAGCUGUUUUUUGCUGGGUGAAUUUCCUAGUCUUGACAGGCCAACAUCAGUCUUGACUGCUGGAAAAGAGCAGGGGGAAUGUGGCACCUUUGGGUGUGUUAUAGCCUUUUGUCAUAUGUGGCAGUUGGGACUGAGGGAUGCAGCGUGCCGCGAGGCUGGGUUUCGACCACGUUCACGCUUAGGAUGUUGGCUUUUAAUGGCUUCAAUCGACCCGUCUUGAAACACGGACCAAGGAGUCUAACAUGCCUGCGAGUGUUUGGGUGGAAAACCCUUGCGCGCAAUGAAAGUGAAAGUUGAGAUCCCUGUCAUGGGGAGCAUCGACGCCCGGACUUGAGCUUUUAGCGACGGAUCYGCGGUAGAGCAUGCAUGUUGGGACCCGAAAGAUGGUGAACUAUGCCUGAAUAGGGCAAAGCCAGAGGAAACUCUGGUGGAGGCUCGUAGCGAUUCUGACGUGCAAAUCGAUCGUCAAAUUUGGGUAUAGGGGCGAAAGACUAAUCG